rnacentral:rRNA from 1 species
UACGUAGGUGACAAGCGUUGUCCGGAUUUACUGGGCGUAAAGAGCGCGCAGGCGGUCGUUCAAGUCGAGUGUGAAAGCCCCCGGCUCAACUGGGGAGGGUCACUCGAUACUGAUCGACUCGAAGGCAGGAGAGGGUAGUGGAAUUCCCGGUGUAGUGGUGAAAUGCGUAGAUAUCGGGAGAACACCAGUGGCGAAGGCGAGC